GCCUUCUUAGCUCAGCGGUAGUAGCGCGUCACUAGUAAGGAAUACAUAUGACGAGGUCGGUCGUUCAAAUCGGCCAGGAGGCA